CGCUGGCGGCAGGCCUAACACAUGCAAGUCGAGCGGUAGAGAGGUGCUUGCACCUCUUGAGAGCGGCGGACGGGUGAGUAAUGCCUAGGAAUCUGCCUGGUAGUGGGGGAUAACGCUCGGAAACGGACGCUAAUACCGCAUACGUCCUACGGGAGAAAGCAGGGGACCUUCGGGCCUUGCGCUAUCAGAUGAGCCUAGGUCGGAUUAGCUAGUUGGUGGGGUAAUGGCUCACCAAGGCGACGAUCCGUAACUGGUCUGAGAGGAUGAUCAGUCACACUGGAACUGAGACACGGUCCAGACUCCUACGGGAGGCAGCAGUGGGGAAUAUUGGACAAUGGGCGAAAGCCUGAUCCAGCCAUGCCGCGUGUGUGAAGAAGGUCUUCGGAUUGUAAAGCACUUUAAGUUGGGAGGAAGGGCAUUAACCUAAUACGUUAGUGUUUUGACGUUACCGACAGAAUAAGCACCGGCUAACUCUGUGCCAGCAGCCGCGGUAAUACAGAGGGUGCAAGCGUUAAUCGGAAUUACUGGGCGUAAAGCGCGCGUAGGUGGUUCGUUAAGUUGGAUGUGAAAUCCCCGGGCUCAACCUGGGAACUGCAUUCAAAACUGUCGAGCUAGAGUAUGGUAGAGGGUGGUGGAAUUUCCUGUGUAGCGGUGAAAUGCGUAGAUAUAGGAAGGAACACCAGUGGCGAAGGCGACCACCUGGACUGAUACUGACACUGAGGUGCGAAAGCGUGGGGAGCAAACAGGAUUAGAUACCCUGGUAGUCCACGCCGUAAACGAUGUCAACUAGCCGUUGGGAGCCUUGAGCUCUUAGUGGCGCACGUAACGCAUUAAGUUGACCGCCUGGGGAGUACGGCCGCAAGGUUAAAACUCAAAUGAAUUGACGGGGGCCCGCACAAGCGGUGGACGAUGUGGUUUAAUUCGAAGCAACGCGAAGAACCUUACCAGGCCU
rnacentral:rRNA from 1 species